CCCGAUAGGACUAUCCACCUGAAAUGGUUUGUGUUCCAAAUGAUUUAUCGCCGUAGGAUGGGACUGCGGCCUAUCAGUUUGUUGGUGAGGUAAUGGCCCACCAAGACUAUUACAGGUACGGGCUCUGAGAGGAGUAGCCCGGAGAUGGGUACUGAGACACGGACCCAGGCCCUAUGGGGCGCAGCAGGCGAGAAAACUUUGCAAUGUGCGAAAGCACGACAAGGUUAAUCCGAGUGGUUUCUGCUAAAGGAACCUUUUGUUAGUCCUAGAAACACUAACGAAUAAGGGGUGGGCAAGUUCUGGUGUCAGCCGCCGCGGUAAAACCAGCACCUCAAGUGGUCAGGAUGAUUAUUGGGCCUAAAGCAUCCGUAGCCGGCUCUGUAAGUUUUCGGUUAAAUCUGUACGCUCAACGUACAGGCUGCCGGGAAUACUGCAGAGCUAGGGAGUGGGAGAGGUAGACGGUACUCGGGAGGAAGUGGUAAAAUGCUUUGAUCUCUCGAUGACCACCUGUGGCGAAGGCGGUCUACCAGAACACGUCCGACGGUGAGGGAUGAAAGCUGGGGGAGCAAACCGGAUUAGAUACCCGGGUAGUCCCAGCUGUAAACUAUGCAAACUCAGUGAUGCAUUGGCUUGUGGCCAAUGCAGUAUUGCAGGGAAGCCGUUAAGUUUGCCGCCUGGGAAGUACGUACGCAAGUAUGAAACUUAAAGGAAUUGGCGGGGGAGCACCACAAGGGGUGAAGCCUGCGGUUCAAUUGGAUUCAACGCCGGAAAUCUUACCCGGAGAGACAGCAGAAUGAAGGUCAAGCUGAAGACUUUACCAGACAAGCUGAGAGGUGGUGCAUGGCCGUCGCCAGCUCGUGCCGUGAGAUGUCCUGUUAAGUCAGGUAACGAGCGAGAUCC
rnacentral:rRNA from 1 species